UACGUAGGGGCAAGCGUUGUCCGGAUUAUUGGGCGUAAAGAGCGUGUAGGCGGCCAUGUAGGUCCGUUGUGAAACUCGAGGCUCAACCUCGAGACGCCGAUGGAAACCAUGUGGCUAGAGUCCGGAAGAGGAGAGUGGAAUUCCUGGUGUAGCGGUGAAAUGCGCAGAUAUCAGGAAGAACACCCGUGGCUAAGGCGGCUCUCUAGUACGGUACUGACGCUGAGACGCGAAAGCGUGGGGAGCGAACAGGAUUAGAAACCGA
rnacentral:rRNA from 1 species